rnacentral:lncRNA from 1 species
GUGGUUGUAUUAGGGGCUGGUAGUGAUGUAGCUAGGUGGUUGUAUUAGGGGCUGGUAGUGAUGUAGCUAGGUGGUUGUAUUAGGGGUUGUGAUGUAGCUAGGUGGAUGUAUUAGGGGUUGUGAUGUAGCUAGGUGGUUAUAUUAGGGGUUGUGGUGUAGCUAGGUGGAUGUAUUAGGGGUUGUGAUGUAGCUAGGUGGUUAUAUUAGGGGUUGUGAUGUAGCUAGGUGGUUAUAUUAGGGGUUGUGGUGUAGCUAGGUGGUUAUAUUAGGGGUUGUGGUGUAGCUAGGUGGUUAUUAUAGGGGUUGUGGUGUAGCUAGGUAGUUGUAUUAGGGGCUGGUUGUGAUGUAGCUAGGUGGUUGUAUUAGGGGUUGUGAUGUAGCUAGGUGGUUGUAUUAGGGGUUGUGAUGUAGCUAGGUGGUUGUAUUAGGGGUUGUGGUGUAGCUAGGUGGUUGUAUUAGGGGUAGUGAUGUAGCUAGGUGGUUGUAUUAGGGGCUGGUAGUGAUGUAGCUAGGUGGUUGUAUUAGGGGCUGGUAGUGAUGUAGCUAGGUGGUUGUAUUAGGGGUUGUGAUGUAGCUAGGUGGUUGUAUUAGGGGAUGUGAUUUAGCUAGGUGGUUGUAUUAGGGGUUGUGAUGUAGCUAGGUGGUUGUAUUAGGGGUUGUGAUGUAGCUAGGUGGUUGUAUUAGGGGUUGUGAUGUAGCUAGGUGGUUGUAUUAGGGGUUGUGAUGUAGCUAGGUGGUUGAAUUAGGGGUUGUGAUGUAGCUAGGUGGUUGUAUUAGGGGUUGUGGUGUAGCUAGGUGGUUGUAUUAGGGGUUGUGAUGUAGCUAGGUGGUUGUAUUAGGGGUUGUGAUGUAGCUAGGUGGUUGUAUUAGGGGUUGUGAUGUAGCUAGGUGGUUGUAUUAGGGGUUGUGAUGUAGCUAGGUGGUUGUCUUAGGGGUUGUGAUGUAGCUAGGUGGUUGUAUUAGGGGCUGGUAGUGAUGUAGCUAGGAGGUUGUAUUAGGGGCUGGUAGUGAUGUAGCUAGGUGGUUGUAUUAGGGGCUGGUAGUGAUGUAGCUAGGUGGUUGUAUUAGGGGCUGGUAGUGAUGUAGCUAGGUGGUUGUAUUAGGGGUUGUGAUGUAGCUAGGUGGUUGUAUUAGGGGUUGUGAUGUAGCUAGGUGGUUAUAUUAGGGGUUGUGGUGAUGUAGCUAGGUGGUUGUAUUAGGGGUUGUGGUGAUGUAGCUAGGGGGUUGUAUUAGGGGUUGUGAUGUAGCUAGGUGGUUGUAUUAGGGGUUGUGGUGAUGUAGCUAGGGGGUUGUAUUAGGGGUUGUGAUGUAGCUAGGGGGUUGUAUUAGGGGUUGUAAUGUAGCUAGGUGGUUGUAUUAGGGGUUGUAAUGUAGCUAUGUGGUUGUAUUAGGGGUUGUGGUGGUGUAGCUAGGUGGUUGUAUUAGGGGUUGUGGUGUAGCUAGGUGGUUGUAUUAGGGGUUGUGGUGUAGCUAGGUGGUUGUAUUAAGGGUUGUGGUGUAGCUAGGUGGUUGUAUUAGGGGUAGUGAUGUAGCUAGGUGGUUGUAUUAGGGGCUGGUAGUGAUGUAGCUAGGUGGUUGUAUUAGGGGCUGGUAGUGAUGUAGCUAGGUGGUUGUAUUAGGGGUUGUGAUGUAGCUAGGUGGUUGUAUUAGGGGUUGUGGUGUAGCUAGGUGGUUGUAUUAGGGGUUGUGAUGUAGCUAGGUGGUUGUAUUAGGGGUUGUGAUGUAGCUAGGUGGUUGUAUUAGGGGUUGUGGUGUAGCUAGGUGGUUAUAUUAGGGGCAGGUCAUGUGUGUACAUGCGAGCAUUAUCAGUCCGGCCGUGGUGGAGGAUACGGGGGCCGGUUCUGGUGGGCCGGUCUGGAUCAAAGUCCAGGGCCAUUCCGCCCCUGCUCUGAGACACUUUGUGGAUACGGGCCCUGAAGAGAUAAGCUUUGUGUUAGCAUUAAGCACAAUAGUGAUGGAUCCACCUAUUCAUCCUAUGUUCUUAGGGAAGGCAGCCAUAUUGUAGACCUAUCAGAGUUUUGAAUUAAAAGGCAAGCAAAGGAGGUAGAGGCUCAGGAAAGUGGCUGGGCUUGUUUUCACAUAGAUCCAGAUAGAAAUACAGUAGAAAUUAAACAGUUAUGGCAUACACACAUUCAUCACUUUCUGUGUCUCACGCUCACACACACAUACAAAGAACAGUGUGAGGGUCACAUAGUGUGGUAGAGGGUGCUGACAGUCCAUUUUUUCAGCCUACGUGGGGGGGGGUGUCCUUCCAUACUGCUGUCGUGUUGCCACGGACAUCAGGUAGGGCAUUGGCGAAGGGGCGUGACCAGCGUCAGGAACUUUCCCCCUCUGCCAGCCCUGAUUAGACGGAGGAGAAUGCAAGUGUUCUGAGGGGGGUGUGUCCACACUUACAAGGCCCCUCCACUCCGGUCCUGAGGGACUCGGCCCUGCUGGUUGAGACAGAAGUAGUCAGACAGGGGGCAUUGUGGGAUAGCACCCUCCGUUUCUUGGAGGACUCGUCAGCUGCUACCAAAGGAGGGGUUCCACGGUGGGCAUCGCGGGAGCGGUAGGGCUAAGAUCCCAGCCACUCAGGUCAUUGGCCGACAACUCUAGACAGCCCAGUUUAGCCAAUGAGGCAGAGCGCUUCAUCAGGGAGGGCAGGGUCAGUCCAGCCUGGCGAAUCCGGGCCUCUACCUCUUUGGCUCUCUGCCG